ACGGGUGAGUAAUGCUUGGGAACUUGCCUUUGCGAGGGGGAUAACAGUUGGAAACGACUGCUAAUACCGCAUAAUGUCUUCGGACCAAACGGGGCUUANGGCUCCCGGCGCAAAGAGAGGCCCAAGUGAGAUUAGCUAGUUGGUAAGGUAACGGCUUACCAAGGGGACGAUCUCUAGCUGUUCUGAGAGGAAGAUCAGCCACACUGGGACUGAGACACGGCCCAGACUCCUACGGGAGGAGAGUGGGGAAUAUUGCACAAUGGGGGAAACCCUGAUGCAGCCAUGCCGCGUGUGUGAAGAAGGGCUUCGGGUUGUAAAGCACUUUCAGUUGUGAGGAAAAGUUAGUAGUUAAUACCUGCUAGCCGUGACGUUAACAACAGAAGAAGCACCGGCUAACUCCGUGCCAGCAGCCGCGGUAAUACGGAGGGUGCGAGCGUUAAUCGGAAUUACUGGGCGUAAAGCGCACGCAGGCGGUUUGUUAAGCUAGAUGUGAAAGCCCCGGGCUCAACCUGGGAUGGUCAUUUAGAACUGGCAGACUAGAGUCUUGGAGAGGGGAGUGGAAUUCCAGGUGUAGCGGUGAAAUGCGUAGAUAUCUGGAGGAACAUCAGUGGCGAAGGCNACUCCCUGGNCAAAGACUGACGCUCAUGUGCNAAAGUGUGGGUAGCGAACAGGAUUAGAUACCCUGGUAGUCCACACCGUAAACGCUGUCUACUAGCUGUGUGUGNCUUUANGGNGUGCGUAGCGAAGCUAACGCGCUAAGUANACCCGCCUGGGGAGUACGGCNCAAGGGUUNAAACUCAAAUGAAUUGACGGGGGGCCCGCACAAGCGGUGGAGCAUGUGGUUUAAUUCGAUGCAACGCGAAGAACCUUACCUACACUUGACAUGCUGANAAGUUACUANAGAUNGUUUCGUGCCUUNGGGAACUC
rnacentral:rRNA from 2 species